UACGUAGGGUGCAAGCGUUAAUCGGAAUUACUGGGCGUAAAGCGUGCGCAGGCGGUUUUGUAAGUCUGUCGUGAAAGCCCCGGGCUCAACCUGGGAAUUGCGAUGGAGACUGCAAGGCUUGAAUCUGGCAGAGGGGGGUAGAAUUCCACGUGUAGCAGUGAAAUGCGUAGAGAUGUGGAGGAACACCGAUGGCGAAGGCAGCACACUGGCCCAAAUCUGACGCUCACACACGAAAGCUAGGGUAGCGAACGGG
rnacentral:rRNA from 1 species